UAUUCCCCAACAAUAUCUCAUUGGAAACAAAAUAAAAAUCCUACAAAAAAUAUCCAAUUACCCAUUUGCAUUCUAACAUGCAUCAUAUAAAUCAUUCAUAAAUGGUUUUCCUACCAAACAGAAAAUUAAAAAAAAACACAGUCAUAUCAAUCAUCAACAUACUCAUGCAUAACACUCCCACAAAAUGGGAAUUUCAACAAAAUAAAAAUCAUUCGCAUUCCUACAUGCACAACCAAAU
rnacentral:lncRNA from 1 species